AGUAAAGUCAGCUAAACAAGCUCUUGGGCCCAUACCCCAAAUAUGUAGGCUAGACCCCUACCUAUACUA
rnacentral:tRNA from 1 species